UACGUAGGGUCCAAGCGUUAUCCGGAAUUACUGGGCGUAAAGCGUCCGCAGGCGGAAAUUUAAGUGCGAUGCGAAAUCUGGUGGCUCAACCAUCUAGACUGUAUCGCAAACUGGAUUUCUUGAGGAUGGCAGAGGCAAGUGGAACUUACGGUGUAGCAGUGAAAUGUGUAGAUAUCGUAAAGAACACCUAUGGCGAAGGCAGCUUGCUGGGCCAUUCCUGACGCUCAGGGACGAAAGCGUGGGGAGCGAACAGG
rnacentral:rRNA from 1 species